GGAUACCUUAGUUACGGCGAGUGAAGCGGUAAAAGCUCAAAUUUGAAAUCUGGUACUUUCAGUGCCCGAGUUGUAAUUUGUAGAAUUUGUCUUUGAUUAGGUCCUUGUCUAUGUUCCUUGGAACAGGACGUCAUAGAGGGUGAGAAUCCCGUUUGGCGAGGAUACCUUUUCUCUGUAAGACUUUUUCCAAGAGUCGAGUUGUUUGGGAAUGCAGCUCAAAGUGGGUGGUAAAUUCCAUCUAAAGCUAAAUAUUGGCGAGAGACCGAUAGCGAACAAGUACAGUGAUGGAAAGAUGAAAAGAACUUUGAAAAGAGAGUGAAAAAGUACGUGAAAUUGUUGAAAGGGAAGGGCAUUUGAUCAGACAUGGUGUUUUUUGCAUGCACUCGCCUCUCGUGGGCUUGGGCCUCUCAAAAAUUUCACUGGGCCAACAUCAAUUCUGGCAGCAGGAUAAAUCAUUAAGAAUGUAGCUACUUCGGUAGUGUUAUAGCUUUUUGGAAUACUGUUAGCCGGGAUUGAGGACUGCGCUUCGGCAAGGAUGUUGGCAUAAUGGUUAAAUGCCGCCCGUCUUAAACCCCCGGACC
rnacentral:rRNA from 1 species